UUGUUUUCUCCAGACGAUUAUUUUUUCUCCGUUGCCCCAGCUGAGUUGGUUGAUUAAUCCCCUACGGAGUUUAGGAUGUAUUCCCCAGCUGAGUUUAUAUUUGGUCUCCAGCAGUGUAAGAGUGGUUCUUUGCAGCUGUUUGCAUGGUUCUGAUAGGACUUUGGUUUCCCCACCAGUCGCCAUCAGAUUUGCUCCUAGUCAGAAUUUCC
rnacentral:lncRNA from 1 species